rnacentral:rRNA from 1 species
GCGCAGCAGGCGCGAAAACUUCACACUGUGCGAAAGCACGAUGAGGGAAUCCCAAGUGCUUGCACGUAAGUGUAAGCUGUUUCUCUGUUUAAAACGCAGAGAGAGUAAGGGCUGGGUAAGACGGGUGCCAGCCGCCGCGGUAAUACCUGCAGCUCAAGUGGUGACCGUUAUUAUUGGGCCUAAAACGUCCGUAGCCGGUUUAAUAAAUGCCUGGGUAAAUCGUGUAGCUUAACUAUACGAAUUCCGGGUAGACUGUUAAACUCGAGACCGGGAGAAGUUAGAGGUACUCCUGGGGUAGAGGUGAAAUUCUGUAAUCCUAGGGGGACCACCAGUGGUGAAGGCGUCUAACUAGAACGGGUCUGACGGUGAGGGACGAAGCCCUGGGGCGCAAACGGGAUUAGAUACCCGUGUAGU